rnacentral:rRNA from 1 species
ACAAGCGGUGGAUGAUGUGGUUAAUUCGAUGCAACGCGAAAACCUUACCACCUUGACAUGUACGGAAGCCUUUAGAGAUAGAGGCGUGCUCGAAAGAGAGCCGUAACACAGGUGCUGCAUGGCUGUCGUCAGCUCGUGUCGUGAGAUGUUGGGUUAAGUCCCGCAACGAGCGCAACCCUUGUCAUUAGUUGCUACAUUCAGUUGGGCACUCUAAUGAGACUGCCGGUGACAAGCCGGAGGAAGGUGGGGAUGACGUCAAGUCCUCAUGGCCCUUAUAGGUGGGGCUACACACGUCAUACAAUGGCUGGUACAAAGGGUUGCCAACCCGCGAGGGGGAGCUAAUCCCAUAAAGCCAGUCGUAGUCCGGAUCGUAGUCUGCAACUCGACUACGUGAAGUCGGAAUCGCUAGUAAUCGUGGAUCAGAAUGUCACGGUGAAUACGUUCCCGGGUCUU